GUUUUCUUAAGUUGAGAUUUGAAAAUCUAUAAUCUAUUUAUAGAUUUUUAACAUCAUACCUCGAAAAAGCUCUAAACACUCAUGAAAAGCUAGAAACUUUCCACCAAAAGGCACUAAAAAAAUUCAAAUGAAAAAUCAACUCAACGGCUAAGUUUUUUGAACCAUGCGUACGCAUGGUAGAAGCAAAAAUGCUUCUGUUUUCUUCAAACAAGGUCGUGCGUACGUAUGGCCAUUUAGCCUAUCCCUAUUCAUGGUUAAGCAGAAACCACCCGAUUUUGCCUUCCAAUUUUCAUCAUUAAUUCGUUUACAUUCUCAAUCUAAAUUUUGAAAAACAAAUAAUUAUAUAAAAAACUUCAUGGCUGCUUCUAGUUCCUAGAAGGUUUGCAUUGGAAAUAAUACUGUGAUUGAGAAUAUCACUCCUCAAUCAAAGUCUUCCACCCCAUGUAAAUCACAGUCACGUAAUUGAAGGAGCCAGUUUUGCAUAAUUUCCAUUUUGUUGUACAAUUAUUGAUUUGCAUUCCAUUUAUACUAUUUGUAAACAUAUGUAGAUAAAGCAAUACAAUUUACCACUAAAGUAAGGUGAAUUUUUAAUUAUUCUUAUGGUAUCAGAGCAGAAAUUGGUUUAGCACACCACCACUGAUCCUCCUCCUCUUCUUCUUUUCAUGGCUGUUGAGACAUCUUCCUUUCUUCCCUUCAAUACCUUAAUCCACAUAAUCACCAUCAAACUUUCCUCCUCAAAUUAUCUCCUCUGGAAAAGCCAACUCCUUUCUCUUCUUGAGAGUCAAGAAUUAUUAGGGCAUGUUGAUAACAUCCUUGUACAGCCCCCAAAACUUGACACUGCCACUUCUCUCAUGCCAAGUGACAAAUAGUUGGCAUGGAAAGCUACUAAUCAGCGCCUACUCAGUUUAUUACUUUCCUCCCUCACCAAAGAAGCCAUGGCUGAGGUAGUUGGCCUCUCUACCGCACGAGACGUAUGGCUCGCACGAGAGAACACAUUUAGCCAUCGCUCUAAGGCUCGAGAAUUACGGCUUAAGGAUGACGUGCAAUUAAUGAAACGCUGCACCAGAUCGGUUGUUGAGUAUGCCCGUUCUUUCAAAGCAAUCUGUAACCAACUACAUGCAAUUGGUUAUCCAGUUGAUGGCACUAACAAAGUCCACUGGUUUCUACGCGGGCUCGGUGCUGAUUUCUCUAGUUUAUCCGCAACGCAAAUGGCCCAAACUCCUCUCCCCUCAUUGCAGAUUUAGUCUCCAAAAUAAUACUGUGAUUGAGAAUAUCACUCCUCAAUCAAAGUCUUCCACAGCAUGUAAAUGACAGUCACGUAAUUGAAGGAGCCAGUUUUGCAUAAUUUCCAUUUUGUUGUACAGUUAUUGAUUUGCAUUUCAUUUAUACUAUUUGUAAACAUCUAUAUAAAAAGCAAUACAAUUUACGUGGAUUUUUAUUUAUUCUUGGUUUGCAGAUAACAGAAAUGAAAGAUUUCUUCCAUUCUAACACAUUUGCAGAAAAUGCUCUUGAAAAUCUGGAGUGCACUUGAGCCUAGUCGUUAAUGCAAUCAACUUGUAAUUUGUUUUCAAAUCCCCCCGUUUGGCUCCCAUUCUCCUUCUCAUUCUUUUUCUCUCCCUUAUUUUCAACCACACAAUCUUCCAUAAAAUAACAUUACACGCAAAGCAAAAACUUUUCAUUAUUUUUCAACCAUACAUUUUUCAAAAAAUCACUAUUCCAACCAAUAAAAUUUGGAUAGAAUGGAGGCCAAACAGGGGCAUAGUGGGAACCAGUUUUAAUAUAUAGCUUCAAUAAGUUCGAUGAUUGAAUGUAAACUUGAGAUCGAUCCGAAUUUAUGGUUCUUUCAUUAGUGGCAUGUUAUUCUAUUCAAUCAUGUUAACAUUGACAAGAGUUGGUAUAUGGCAUCAACUUAGUGUGGUAGUUCUUGUUUUGUAUUGUUAUGAUUGUUGAACUAUCGUUCCUGCCAAAUGAAAUAUUGAGUGUCAAGAUUAACAUGUAUUAAAUGUCAAGAACUACACAUAAAAACUUUUAUGAAUUGUAGAGAAUUCUCAUGUUUGAAACGAAAUAUCAUGCUAGAAAAAUGAAGUGUCAAGUGUCUAAAUAAACAAGAUUCAAAUGUCAAUAACAACUUUUAAUAUAUCGAGAACGUCAUGAAAUGUCAAGAAUAACAACUAUUAAACACAACUUAUCAACAAAAACAAGAUUUAAAAAAAAAAAAAAAAAACCUUCUAGCAAGAAUUUUUGAGAGAUUAAUCAACUUGGAAAUUGGGAUGGCAUUAAAUUUUUUGGAAUGAAAUUAUAUGAUUUUCUCAUGAAUUGGAAAGCAUAUAGUUAUUUUUUAGUUUUAAUGACUUUUUUACUUUAUCUUCUUCAUUUUUUUUUCCCCCACAAAAUCAUUACCUAAUAAAUAAUGAAAGUAAAUGAAUCCAUUAGAUAUUAACUGACAUUAAUAUAGCUUUUCAUGGAAGCUACUUGCUCUUCUCAAAAUUCAUAAAAAAAAAAAUUUAAAAAAAUUUAAAAAAAAAUGAUUCACUUUUCAUAAGGGUAUAAUAGAUAAUUUGGUACCAAAUUUAAUAAUUUUUGCAAGAAUUAUCAAAAUUACACACUUUCAAUUGACAAGCAUGAAAUUGGACAAUUUUUGUAAAUUUGAAUUUGAAUUUGAAUUUAUAAAGAUUGAUGGGCAUUUUAUCUAAGGGUGAAUGUAAUUCAGUUUAGACAUUGUGUGCUAUAUUUUCAACUCAGACCACUUCAUGUCUUUUGAAAUUUUUUCAAAUCAAAUCAAAUCAUUUCAUUUUUCAAACCAAAGCAUACCAAAUCUUAAUUUGUGGUUUAGUUUAGUUUUAAUCCACAGUUAACCUAUCGACGUUAUAAUAAUAUAUUUAAAACUAUCAAUAUAUAAGUUUAAAGAACUUAUAAUGUUAAAUGUUAAAAUAUAUUCAUAUUUACUAUGAAACUCAUGAAUAAAUUACUUUCAAAAUUGGUUGCUCUUAUAUGUAAAUAGAACAAAUAUAUAUUUCCUCAUUUUUAUUUACUUUUCUAGUUUAACUUCCAUAUUGUCACGCAGUGGUUGAUAAAGGUAGAGGCACAUUCUGCUAUUAUAAUUUAGUUAAAACUCCUUUCGUCCUGUUAGUGAGAUGGUAAAUAAGAAUUGAAUAUGAUAUAUUUAGAUAUACAAAAACAGCAAUCUCAUCUGCAACCUAAAAAAUGUUGCCUCUAGUGGUGUAAUUAAAACUCAAAUUCAUGUAUUCUUCAAUGAAAUUAAAACCAAACAUAAAUUGAAAUUCAAAUGUUAUUGAAAAUGCAAUAACAGAUCCAAAAAUACCAUAAUCAAUUCAGGAGCUAUGUGUUGUAGCUCCACUCACUUGAGAUCCAAUCUCUCAGUCCAAGUGUUGGAAAUUUAAAUAAUUGCUUCAUCCUCAUCAAUUAAAUAAUCAGAAAUUGAAUUCUAAGAUUUAAAAAAAAAAAAUUGAUAUAAAUGAUAAAUAUUUAAUUAAAAUUGUUCUGAAAAGAUGCAUACGAAUUGGGGGAAAAUAGAUUACUCAGUGGCAAUUUUAAGUUUUAGGUUCGAUUCUGCCAGCAAAGCGUCCUCAAAUUUUAAUUCAGAAGAGGGAGCUUUUUUAUCCUCAUCGUAAAUUUAUUUUCCUCACACGCCAAUUUCAAAUGUAAAUCAAAAUACGAAUUUAUCAAAAAAAUUACUCGAAAAAAGAAACAAUAUUAAAUCUAAAUAGAUAGAAAAAGAUGCAUAUAAUUUUCCGUUCAAAAUGCAAAUUAAAAAAUAUAUAUACAAAAAAUUACAAAAUAAAAAACAACCAUAUAGAUAACGAUGCAUAUACACUUAUAUAGGUAUAUAUAUAUUGAGAAAAAGAUAUAGGGAGAAGAACGCUCGGUUCAGCGGGUUAAUCGACAUGCAAGUAAUUAUCUGACCUGCAAUCCGGUCUGUUGAGCUUGAAAUUUAGAAGUCGUCACUGCGAUUCUCCCUUCAAAUUGAUAAUAAAAAAAAAAAAAAAACAAAUGAAACUAUAAAGUUGAAGGAGAAAAGAAAACGAAUAUACCAUCCAAAGAAACACUGCGUGAAU
rnacentral:lncRNA from 1 species